GGGUUUGAAUACUUUCCGAAGGCACUGUUACAUGUCUGUCAUUGAACAACCCCAUGCCACGAUUAGAUGGUGAAAAAACACAUCUCUUUCAGAAGUUCUUCAAAAAAAGAACAGCUAAUUUACAAACAUUUCUGAAAAUGGAUAUAUAGGGUUUGGAAUUAAACUCUUAAUUUACGUUACUUAUUGAUUGAUUUUACAUAACUAGCCUCGUGGAGAACCAGGCUUCCCUAAUAAGGUAAGCCUGGGGAAGUCAAUAAUAUAAAGUGUCUAAAAAGGGUUGGAGACCCAGUGUAAAUCAGUGACGCCUGGCAACACUCAAACCCAUCAACUACCUUGCUUGGUCUGUGUGAAAAGUUUCCCACUCAGUCUCAUACAGUAUGUUGCCUGACUAUAAUAAUUUAUCUUGAUACGUUAAUAAAUACCUACUGUGUUCAUUUUGGCAUGUUUAACUGUCUAGAAUAUCCAUUGUAAUGUGCGUAGACCGCAGACUAACUAACAAAUAAUUGGUAGCUAACUAGCUACCCACGAACAUUGAUUAUUAUGUUACAAGCUUGUGAUUACUUUAUGUAGUUAUCUUGUUUAAUCUCUAUUGGUCAAAGGUAAUACAGUAGCACGGGAGUGUGCACUGCUUCUCAAAUGUACAUUUUCAUGCGUUAUCCACACUCGUCCUCACACGAACCUCUUAAAUAAAACGUCCACGGAGUGACACACGUCAUAACACGUGUGUUAUGUUCUUGAAAUGUACAAUAAAUGCGGCGCUCCAAUGUAGCCGUUUCGGCUAAUACAAACAUCUCCAGACUUCCAAAGGAGCGGCGUGACAACAACGUGAUUUGGAGCGGAAGCCUCAAGUCCAUUUCCUGAGCGGCCUGGUCAGAAGUCUCCAGGCAUCCCCGAACAAAAGAUUUAUUGGAAUCUAAAUCAAUGUGAAAAUGGCCAGGACAAGAUGGAAUCACUGCCCCCUUUUCAGAUCCAGUCUAACUCAAAGCAGCUGCCUUGGAUCCGUAUUUUUCUCUGAUGUGGGUGAAGCACCAUGUGCUGGUCAAGGAAGAGGUCAAAGAGGAGGUGGCACAAAGAGUAAAAGAACUGAUUCUGCAAGAUGCCGCAGGGACUGAGCAAGCUGUGCCUCUUGUUGAUGAGGAAGAGUGAGAGGACCAUAGUCUUGGACAAGAAAAAGGGCUUUUUGCAGGACACUGUAGGCAGAAGAAAGCUGUUGGGACCACUACAGCUAAGUCACUACCUUGACAUAUGCGAAGGACAAAAUGCCCUCUUGUUCUGGGCAAUGAACAUGAAGGCUCUUCCUUCACUGUCCCGAGUGGCCAUCAGGGUCUUGGCAGUGCCUGCCUCCAGUGCUCCGGUGGAGCGUGUCUUCAGCCAUGGUGGCAUCAUACUGCGGCCUCAUCGUGCACAAACGACUGACAGACUUUUAUCGAAUUUGGUCUUUUGCAAAUGCUAUGCAUCAUAGGGCCCUGAGAUAAGAGAAAACAUUUAACUGUUUAUGCAUUACACACACACACACACACACAGUCUCCAUGUUCAGGUUUUAUCUCCCAUCUUUGUGAUCUGUAUUUUUCUCAGACUAUCAGGCCAGUGUUCAAAUUGUAGGCCUACUUGAAGUUCAGUAGCAGUUGUUUUGAUGUACCUUUUAAUAAAUGAUUGUAACUUGAUGGCAGGAUUGUUUUAGGUGUCUAAAAUAUAUCUGGAUAGAGACAGAGAGCACUACAAUAUUUUGUUUUUGUUGUCGUAUUGAUGUGUCUUUCUCAUGGCUA